GCAUUGGGGUAAGUCCUAUACGGUCAGCUCCCUUCGAAUUCCCCCAGGGCUUGACGGCAGCAAGGGUAGUUGGUUGUAGCGACGCGAUGUAGUCAACUUGCCCUU
rfam:Candidatus Azobacteroides pseudotrichonymphae genomovar. CFP2 DNA, complete genome.